rnacentral:misc_RNA from 1 species
GUAGGUGAACCUGCGGAAGGAUCAUUAUCUAUUCAUGAAAUACGGGAGUGCAACAGCCCUCUGGGGCUCCUUAAAUGGGUGACCCCCCUGUGGACACGCCCCGUACUCUCAUUGAAAUCCCAUCUGUGUAUAUGACUUCUGUUGCUUCCCACAAAGCGGACGCUUGGGUGUAGAAUCCCUAGGGUUAGCCUGUGGGGAGGAAGACAUAAACUCUAUUUGUUGUAUUGUUAGUCUGAGUGGUUAUCACAUAAAACAAGUUAAAACUUUCAACAACGGAUCUCUUGGUUCUC